CUGAGAGGCGAGGGUGCCUUCGGGAGCCAGAACACAGGUGCUGCAUGGCUGUCGUCAGCUCGUGUCGUGAGAUGUUGGGUUAAGUCCCGCAACGAGCGCAACCCUUGUCAUUAGUUGCUACAUUCAGUUGGGCACUCUAAUGAGACUGCCGGUGACAAGCCGGAGGAAGGUGGGGAUGACGUCAAGUCCUCAUGGCCCUUAUAGGUGGGGCUACACACGUCAUACAAUGGCUGGUACAAAGGGUUGCCAACCCGCGAGGGGGAGCCAAUCCCAUAAAGCCAGUCGUAGUCCGGAUCGUAGUCUGCAACUCGACUACGUGAAGUCGGAAUCGCUAGUAAUCGUGGAUCAGAAUGUCACGGUGAAUACGUUCCCGGGUCUU
rnacentral:rRNA from 1 species